GUUUUCAGAAGCCUGCUUUGUUUGAUGCUGUUGUACAGACUUGAACAGCAACAUAACUCGUCUAUUUUGUCUGACUUGGAGUCGAUUUUUGUUAUCAGUAUGGUAAUAUCAGCACAAACCCUCAGUCUAUCGCGAUCGGCUCACUCACUCUCUGUCUCAAUCGUAACUUUUAAGCAUCUGAAUCUCAGCUGUUUUUGAUCCCAACCAGAGCUGUAGAUAAAAUAACUGCUAAAAAACCUUAACAUGGUCCUGAGGGUCUUGCUUGGAGCGUGACUCCUGCUCCCACCUGCUGCCAACAUGGACACUUUGCUAGAAAAUUUACGGGUUAAGGCGCGUGUGGGGCUCAAGGACUUUUGACUGGACUUCACCACUCACCUUACCUCAAUCAGGGGGACUGUGGAUAGGGAAGAUGAUGAUGAUGAUGAUGAUGAUAAAAUAACAAGAUGCCUUCUGCUGUGACAAUUGUAUGAAUUAACAUGUAUUACUAAGACUCAUUAAGUAGAUUAUUUCUGAAAAUGGCUUUUAGGGCUAUAGAUAUAUAAAUUUUUUUUUAUUGUUUUUUGGUUUUUUGGCUAUUUCCCUGCUUUUUUUUUCCUUGUUUUGGACAUGCUGUAGCAACAGAGACACAGAGAUUACUUAUAGAGCAGAUUUAUGAAUACAGUGAUGAUAAUUAUAAUGGUAAUGUGAUUAUUAUAGGGAGGCGUGUGUGUGUGUGUGUGUGUGUGUGUGUGUGUGUGUGUGUGUGUGUGUGUGUGUGUGUGUGUGUGUGUGUGUGUGUGUGUGUGUGUGUGUGUGUGUGUGUGUGUGUGUGUGUGUGUGUGUUAGUGUGAGUAAGUGAGAGUGUGUGCGUGUGUGAGAGAGCUUCACGUGUACCCUCAGAACAGAAACAGGACUCUGUCUCUUGUCUCUUACAACCUCUCAGGAAAAUCUACCUCUACCUCCAGUUUGAUGCAUUUAACCCGGUGAGGGCUCAAGUUACAGUUUGGCAGGAAGAGGACACGAGAACGGGCGCCGGCGUUUGAACUGAACUUCAGCCGACCUCGAUUGAUAUGAACGCCGUGCUUGUGCUAGAUACAAACAAGACAUUCUUGGUUGAGAGGUUCAUUUCUGACGCCGGGGCGUCCGCCGCCCUCUUGUUUGUCGUUACACUUUCGUAACACUUCUGCUGUUUAGCUUAUUUGAGUACCAACAACAGGGAACCUCCAGCUCAACAGCUAACUACUACCAGUACUCGGACAAGUACUGCUUCUCGCACCACUGUCAGUUCAGAGUUUUGCAGUCUGCUCUAUUAAUGUGUGCUUUUUCCUCUUUUUUCUUCUAUCAACUAUCACAUUUUUUCACAAGUGGGAUGUUUCCCCAAUGGCCACCACAUCAGUGAUGUGGCAGCGGGGCAAUGCAACUGUUUAUUUUGAAGGGUGAAGAUCUGUUCUUGCCUAUUUACUCAAUAUAUGUUAGUGUGAAUACUUUUAUUUUGAAUCUGAAAUUAAUAAAAUAUCACCUUUGUUAAAUGUCA
ensembl:lncRNA